AUUGAACGCUGGCGGCAUGCCUUACACAUGCAAGUCGAACGGCAGCAUGACGUGUAGCAAUACACGUUGAUGGCGAGUGGCGAACGGGUGAGUAAUAUAUCGGAACGUGCCCUGUAGCGGGGGAUAACCUAUCGAAAGAUGGACUAAUACCGCAUACGCUCUACGGAGGAAAGCGGGGGUCGCAAGACCUCGCACUAUAGGAGCGGCCGAUAUCGGAUUAGCUAGUUGGCGGGGUAAAAGCCCACCAAGGCGACGAUCCGUAGCUGGUCUGAGAGGAUGAUCAGCCACACUGGAACUGAGACACGGUCCAGACUCCUACGGGAGGCAGCAGUGGGGAAUUUUGGACAAUGGGCGCAAGCCUGAUCCAGCCAUGCCGCGUGAGUGAAGAAGGCCUUCGGGUUGUAAAGCUCUUUCGGCAGGAACGAAAUGGUUCGUGCUAAUACCACGGACUGAUGACGGUACCUGAAGAAGAAGCACCGGCUAACUACGUGCCAGCAGCCGCGGUAAUACGUAGGGUGCAGGCGUUAAUCGGAAUUACUGGGCGUAAAGCGUGCGCAGGCGGUUUCUUAAGUCAGAUGUGAAAGCCCCGGGCUUAACCUGGGAACUGCGUUUGAAACUGGGAGACUUGAGUGUGGCAGAGGGGGGUGGAAUUCCACGUGUAGCAGUGAAAUGCGUAGAUAUGUGGAGGAACACCGAUGGCGAAGGCAGCCCCCUGGGCUAACAC
rnacentral:rRNA from 1 species